rnacentral:lncRNA from 1 species
AGGUAUUGUGAGGAAGAUAACUAUAUUGAUUUUGAGGACAUUAAGUCUACAUUUUUAUGGCCCCGCAACGAAGUUGUCGGUGCCAUAUAGUUUUACCCUUGUGCAUAGUUCUGUAAUUCCGUCAUUCUGCAACAAACCAUUAUACAGAGUUUUUUUUUAAACGCCUUCAUAUGCUUGGCUGAUUUUUGGUAUGUGAGUUAACCAUGAAGAGUUACAGAUCAAGUUUAAGUUUCAUUCUGCUCCGUUAUUUUUUGCCAAAAUUAUGGGCUUUUGGACUUUGAUAAAUUGUUGAAAAUCACAGUUAUACAGACUUUUUUUCUAAACGCUUUCAGAUAUUGGGAUGAUUUUUGGUAUGUUAGUUACUCAUGAUGAGUUACAGAUCAAAUUUAAGUUUUGUUCUGCUCCGCUAAUUUUUGCCAAAAUUAAGGGUUUACAAACUUUGAAAAUUGUUGAAAAUCACAGUUAUACAGGCUUUUUUUCUAUACGCCUCCAGAUUUUGAGCUGAUUUUUGAUAUGUGAGAUUACCAUCAUGUUUGUGUCCACAUGUGUUAUUGAAAUUGCAGAUUUUUCAACUUUUUGAGACGGGGCCAUUCGUGUCACUUUGACACGUCUACUUUUAGUUUAUUGUCCAUGACCUCAUUUCAUUCCUUUACCAAGGGUUAUAUCUAGUUUUAGUUUAUUGUCCAUGACCUCAUUUCAUCUUCCUUUACCAAGGGUUACAAUCCAGUAUCCUCCUCUCCACCCUUGGGAGAAUAAGCCAAUAUUUGUGAAAACAAUGUUGCACAAUCUAUUGGUUGAUAAAAAUCACACUUAUUCUCAAAAUACAUUAUUUUUUACCAAAUUGUAG